ACACGCAUGACACACUGCAUAUCAAUAAGCGGAGGAAAAGAAACUAACUAGGAUUCCCUCAGUAACGGCGAGUGAAGCGGGAAGAGCUCAAAUUUGAAAUCUUCAAGGUUUUACCUUGACGAAUUGUAGUUUAAAGAAGUGUUUUCUGUUGGUGUUUUGGUAAAAGUUCUUUGGAAUAGGACAUCAUAGAGGGUGAGAAUCCCGUAUUUGACCAUUUCUUCCAGCUGUGUGAUACACUUUCAAAGAGUCGGAUUGUUUGGGAAUGCAGUCCAAAAUGGGUGGUAAAUUUCAUCUAAAGCUAAAUAUUGGCGAGAGACCGAUAGCGAACAAGUACCGUGAGGGAAAGAUGAAAAGAACUUUGAAAAGAGAGUUAAACAGUACGUGAAAUUGUCAAAAGGGAAGCGUUUGACACCAGUGUUGUUUUUCCGAAAAUCAAUUACGAAUGUUUUGUUUUUGAGGAGUUAUGACUUCAUCGGCUUGCUCCUUUCUUUAUGAAACUUUCUUAAUGCACUUUUCGGUUAACAAGUCAACAUCAAUUUCUUUUGUUGUAAAAGGGUAUGAGGAAGGUGGCUUUCUUUUCGGAGAAAGUGUUUAUAGCCUUGUGCCUCUGCAAUCGGAGAGAUUGAGGUCUGCAGCGUAGAUCCUUCGGGGUUAGAUACAUUUGUGCUAAGUUAUAGCUUUUCAUAGACAACUUGUUGACUAUGUUUAGUCUUGUAGCUUACUCGCUUAUGCUAUUUUACCUACGCUUAGGAUGUUGAGCGCAUGUCUCUCUCU
rnacentral:rRNA from 1 species